UAAGACAACCGGGAUUGCCCUAGUACGGCGAGUGAAGCGGCAACAGCUCAAAUUUGAAAUCUGGCCCCUUCCUGGGGGUCCGAGUUGUAAUUUGCAGAGGGCGCUUUGGCAUCGGUGGCGGUCCAAGUUCCUUGGAACAGGACAUCGCAGAGGGUGAGAAUCCCGUACGCGGCCGCGUUCCUUUGCCGUGUAAAGCCCCUUCGACGAGUCGAGUUGUUUGGGAAUGCAGCUCUAAAUGGGAGGUAAAUUUCUUCUAAAGCUAAAUACUGGCCAGAGACCGAUAGCGCACAAGUAGAGUGAUCGAAAGAUGAAAAGCACUUUGGAAAGAGAGUCAAAUAGCACGUGAAAUUGUUGAAAGGGAAGCGCUUGCAGCCAGACUUGCCCGCAGUUGCUCACCUGGGCCUCGCGCCCGGCGCACUCUUCUGCGGGCAGGCCAGCAUCAGUUCGGGCAGCCGGAUAAAGACCUCUGUCACGUAUCAUCCUUCGGGAUGACCCUAUAGGGGAGUUGCAAUGCGGUUAGCCCGGACUGAGGUCCGCGCAUAUGCUAGGAUGCUGGCGUAAUGGUGGCAAGCGGCCCGUCUUGAAACACGGACCAAGGAGUCUAACAUCUAUGCGAGUGUUUGGGUGUCAAGCCCGGGCGCGCAAUGAAAGUGAACGGAGGUGGGAACCCCCCUCGGGGGCGCACCAUCGACCGAGCCUGAUGU
rnacentral:rRNA from 1 species